rnacentral:rRNA from 1 species
AUUGAACGCUGGCGGCAGGCUUAACACAUGCAAGUCGAGCGGAGAGAGGUAGCUUGCUACCGCUCUUAGCGGCGGACGGGUGAGUAAUGCUUAGGAAGCUGCCUAUUAGUGGGGGACAACAUUUCGAAAGGAAUGCUAAUACCGCAUACGUCCUACGAGAGAAAGCAGGGGAUCUUCGGACCUUGCGCUAAUAGAUGAGCCUAAGUCGGAUUAGUUAGUUGGUGGGGUAAAGGCCUACCAAGGCGACGAUCUGUAGCGGGUCUGAGAGGAUGAUCCGCCAAAAUGGGACUGAGACACGGCCCAGACUCAUACGGGAGGCAGCAGUGGGGAAUAUCGGACAAUGGGCGCAAGCCUGAUCCAGCCAUGCCGCGUGUGUGAAGAAGGCCUUAUGGUUGUAGAGCACUUUAAACGAGGAAGAGGCUACUUUAGUUAAUACCUAGAGAUAGUGGACGUUACUCGCAGAAUAAGCACCGGCUAACUCUGUGCCAGCCGCCGCCGUAACAC